GUGCAAGGGAGAGGGCGGCAGAGCGAGGAGCUGUGCCUGGGCUAUGCUGACAGACGACUUUCCCCUUGGUUGUCAGGUUUUGAGCCUGUCAGCGGCGCUGCUGAAAAAUCCGUGCGGGUUUGCAGUCCGGAGCUGAGCCGCUAUAAUCCCCUGGGUCUGCCCGAGGAUGCUGGCGUGCCCCCCGCGUACACCUGAGCGCCUGGGGAGGGGGGAGCAGGGGCUGCCAGAAAUGUUGGCCACUGGCGGGCAGCCCCGUUAAAGGUGGAGCGUGUGCGUGGGGCAGCGCCCAUCCUCGCCGAGCCAUAACCGACGCGGUAACCUGCAGCCAUGGAGUCGCCCACGAAGGAGAUUGAAGAAUUUGAGAGCAACUCUCUAAAAUACCUGCAGCCGGAGCAGAUAGAGAAAAUCUGGCUUCGGCUCCGAGGAUUGACCGGAGAAUUGUCUGAUAUUUUGGCCACAUUCUUGGUGUAACGCCAGUGAAAAUUCUCCCCGUCAUUCUCAUUGGCUUUGUCUGGGCAAUCAUCUUUCUUUUCGCCCUUUUCUUCGCACUCGUGUUCCAGGUGCAAGAAGCCUACAGCUCUGGAUGCAGUUUGACUGGAUGUGUAGAUGAAGUCAUUCACGUUGUAUGGAGAGCAUCUAUGAAGUGCUUUGCAGAGAGAGGCAUGUUAAUGCUCAGUGAUCUCUGUAAGACCUGUUUCUAAUUAGCUCAACAGUAGUGAAGAUAUCUCCUUGCAAAUGGAGAAGAAUCAAAUUCUGGAGUUAUGCAAAUUUGCUGAAUAACCCAGAGCAAAUUAUCAUAAUGGUCUCACCUAGCCUCCGAAUCCGUGGAACAUCAAAUAGCAUUUUGCACUGCCUUCACCGUGUGGAGGCAGAGAACUCGACUCCACCCUUAAAACAGCCAAGCGUUUAAGAACUAGAAUAGGUGUCACAGCUGCAGCACUUGUCAUGUGGAAAGGGCUGGAGGAUUUGCUUAUUUAAAUAUAUCUUCAUCUCUGAGUCUUGUGAAGACCCCCUUCCCACAGCUGCUGCGGCAUCAAGAUACCUGGGAGAUGGCUGGCAGCAGCAGGGAGCAGGGCCUGAAAUAAUACAUUUCUCACGUCACCUCUUCUGUUCUGUGCGCGUGUUCAAGGACCGCUCCCAUCUGUCCACCAAUCCAUUCAGUUUCCCAAAAUUCUCCCUGCUGCAUUGAGGAACUCUCGUGCCCUGGGUGUGGGGCAGUGCUCCUGAGCUGCAGGUUGGCAUUGCUCAUCACGCUCAGCACUAAGGGCCCCUCCAUAAGAACACUCCUCCAUACAGGCUGCUGCUGGCUGUCUCCUGGGCGCGUCGUUGUUCAGCCUGCUCCCCUCUCUCAGGCACUGUUCCUGGAAGAAUACAGCGGGGGAAAGCCCAGAAGAAGAGCACUGGCGGUUCACAAGAAGUUGAAAUGUUGCUUUUUCCUACAGCUGACAUUUAAUAACCAGUCUGUUAAUGAGGAGGCGCAGUCAGGACAAUAGCUACCCCUCCCUCCUUGCGCAGGGCCGUGUCCCCAAAAGCCUUGAAUCAUUCCUAAAAGCUAUCGUCGCGCUGAAGGAGGGGGUGGCUGUGAGCUGGGGGCUGGGAACGAGAAGGAACAUUAUUUUGGAAAGGGAACACUAUGGCUUUGUGCGGUGAUUUUUUCACCCCAUGUUUAGGCUUGUUAAACAGUAAUCCGAGUGUUUCAGCCUGUAACCCGGAGUAAGGAGAGAGCCUGGCACAAAAACCAUGAGAUUUAAAAUCCUGCGUCACACCAGCUGUCUGCGAGCGGGCAGAGAGGGUGGGCUGUGCUCGGGAGGGGGAAACAAUAACAAGCACUAGUCAAUAGAUUUAGUAGAGCUUAGGGCAAGAUGCAGAUUUGUUUAGUGACUUCGCGCACGCGGCUGGUCUGCUCUGAUGUAAUUCCAGAGCAUGUUUCCUGUCUAGAUAUUUAAUCCAGGGUAUGAACAAUGAUUUCCCCCCCGCCUCUCUCCCAUCAUCGUGCAUGCAGUAACUAAUCACAGAGCCACCCUGCAUGAAACAAACUGGACAGCUGCCUGUUUGGCUCCUGCAGGAUCUGAAUACGCUCAUUUUGCAUAGUAGCAGUGAGUAAAAUAAGUUUUUUAUCUAUACACGCUUGUUACUUCCAGGGUCUAACAGCUUUUUCCCACUGGGGGAAUGGAAUUUCAGCUAAACUAUUAUGUGCUUUGAACAUGUGGGAUGUACCAAUGUUGCCACUAUAAGUUCUCUGCAAUAUGAUGUUUUACAUUAUUCCACACAGAAAUGUCCCCUUUUACACUUCUUGCUGUUCUGACUUAGUUCUUUAAGCUCUUUUCAUAGGAAAAUAAUCAGGAUACAACCAAAGAACGCACAGACAAGAUUGCAUAUCUGCUCCCUUUUUUGAGAUAUUGAACUAAGAGAAGGAAGCAGCAUCCCCCUGUUGAAGUCAGUGUUGCCCCGUGAUCACAAUGUGCAGCAUGAUGCUCAGAGCAGCAGGGAGGAAUUCUCUCCCUGCCUUCCAUCCCAUUGUUCAAGAAGAGUCACAGUCUCUUGCAGUGAGAGACGUGGAUAGGCUUGUUGAAGCACCACCCAUCCUGUGCUCUGUGGGUCAUCCUCUUUGUUUAUCGCAGAGCCAAAAGUUCCAUCAGUCAUUUGGAGCAGCCAUCUAGAAACAACACUUGGUCACAUGAAGUAGAAAUGUCUUUAUAAACAGUAAUUUGUUGUGUGAAGGUCAUAGAAUGUUGGGACUUAAUCUUUUAUUUUUUAUUAUUUAUUUAUUUAUUUAUUUUGUCUGUAACAAAUGCGGAUACCGAGAGGAGCUCUUCCUCCUUCUCAGACUUUUGGAUUUUAUUUUCCUGAAAAGCACUUUCCUGUAACUGCAUUUUUAUGAGCAUGCUUCUUUAGCAUGUGAUGUGUAUGAAGCAUAAAAUAAUUCGCUAGUUGUGUACUAAGAACAAGCUGAAUGAGCAGUAGAUGAUACUCUUUUUGACUAGACAGUCAGGAGCAGCUCCAUUUUAAUUUUUACUUAAUGUUUUUCCUCAGCUAAAUCCAUGCCAGCUACAAUGGCAAGACUUUUUUUUUGUUUAGUUUAGUUUUUUUAAUUAUUGCUUUUGUUUACUUGCUUUGUUUUUGACAUGAGGAGCGAUGGAAACAUUAGUAAAAAUACUCAAUCUACUCAAAAAUCUACUCAAGAUUACAGUAUUUUUUCUGGUUGUAUACAAAAUCCACAUGAGUUAAACUAGAUUUUUAGAAACCUUUAGAAUGACUUUUGCUGUCUUUGGUAGUUAAGAUACCAGCACUUUAAAAUACCAGUUUCUUGUCCAGUCCAGGAUGAUUCCAGGAGUGAAUUUGAGUUAGCCCUUGUGAUUUCCCCUUGUUGACACCUCAUGGUGUGACAAGCUGGAGCACUCAGCUGUCCCCACGGGGCUCCCACUGUUCCCUGCAGAUCCCUCUGCCUCAGGCUGUCUUGCCUGAAACCUUUGAGCCUUCAUAUAUACACACUGUUCAAUGCGAACCAAUUAAGAAAACUUUUCCUUUGCCUCAUUUUCACCACACUUGAUAUACGUACUGUGUCACGAAGAGAUGCACAGCGGUUAGCUCGCCUCUUCUGGCAGCCAGCACUGUUUAUCAAAGCACGAGCAAGCUGUGGUUGUCCUUCAUUAAAAUGAAGCUCAAGAAAAUAAUGACAGUUUAUCACAGAUCAUCUCUAUGUCAGUGGGAAGUAAAAUACCUGUAAGUAAUACACCUCUGGUAUGCUGUUAUCUGAACACAAUUGCUACAGCUGCAUGGGGUCCUACCCUACCCUCCUGCCUGAGGUAGCUGUGCUGAAUUUAAGGUCAUUAUCUCUCAUAAGAGCAUAUACGAUAGCAUGUAGUUGUCACUGAUGUUACUUUGCCCAGACCAUGUACAUAUAACCCCAGUGGCAACACCUUCAGGCUCUGUCCACUCUUUACUGAAUUGCUGGAGAUGGGAUCGCAGCUGCCUUGAGCUGACUGCAGAACAAAGUCCUUACAGCUUGUGCUGUCAGCGAGGCUUUUCUGUACGAAGAAUUUAAAAACAUUGCCUCUCCUGCUACACUUCACAUGGAAUGAUUACACACAUUAAGACCCAAACGAGAAAGCGGGAAACUUUGUUUAACUGCAGGUAAGAACAUUGGCAUGGCAAAACGUUGCAGAAGAGCAGAAGCAGUGCAAGAGAAGUAUGGCCUAGCAACUUCAAUCCUCUUUGGGGGAUGAAACUGUAGGUUUCUUGAAAUACUUGUUUAGACUGAGUUUAGAAAACUCAGUCGCUGAACUGGCAAAGGCUGUCAGAUCAGCUAAAUAUCAGAAUAGCAUUGUUCUUGUGCAGAAGCAGUGAGGAUAUUUGUUGACAUUUAAUUAUUUUUGCAUACAUUAUUUAGUUUGAUAAACGAAUCAGAUUAAGUUAAAUUUAUACUUUGCUUCCUCUUGUUUCCAAGAUGUGACGCACUGUCCCCUUUAUGUUCUGGCUGCACAUCUCUUGUCCCACUUCACUGUCUUGUCUCUGUUUUUCCUGCAAUUGUUGCACCUAUUUCAGGUGGUGAAUGUUUCCUGCCAUUGCAUGGUUACAUCGCACAUGCCCGUGCUUCAGAGCACGCAGACUCUUAUAAUUUACUUAAAAUGAGAAAAAUGACUGCCUCACGCUCUCACGAUUUCACUACGUCCCCAUGUAGGUCAGGGUCCAAUUUAAAAUGACUCGUCUUUUAAAAUCCCACAUAAACGCCCUGUCACAUUGGAAGUACCAGCUGAAAUCUUUUUCCUCAUCCACUUCUUACGAUUUCUUCUCCUCCGCUGUCAUUAGUCUCUGUGAUUGUAUUGUUUUUAACUUAGCGCAGUAUUUUGCUAAACAGACUGUGUGGAAGAAACAAUAAAUUACGUUUGUUAUCGAUUAGAGAGUGAUUAAAGCAAGAAAGCUGGUCUUCCUGUUUCAAUUAGGGAAUUAAAAACCCAGUAGCAGUUGAUGGCAUCAUCCCCUUCAAAGUCUGGCACUCUCAAUAUAUUUAUCUGGUCAGGGCUCCCAUGAGAUCCUGAGCUUUGACAGAUGCCAGUCCAUAGUCUGUGCUGUGAGAUUUGGGUUUUGUUAAUUGGUUUAUACAUGGUUAUUAAUAUAGGCUUUGGUAACAUAAUGCAAAUGCAUCACUAAUCCAGUGAUGAUGACGAAUAAUUUGUAAUGCAGUGAAUGUUUCAGAAUAUCGAGCUGCUGGGAGAGAAGAUUUUCAAUUUACGUGAUCCCAUCAGUUGGAAAAAGUAGCUUUAUCUGAGCCUUUCCUCCUUGGCACUGACGUCCAGGGGAUGGUGCCUUCCCCUGUUAUGAGCUAAUAUGCUGCUUUGGUGUGGUCAGAGAGGACACUGGGGCUUGGGAGCUGGGAAUUGCUCUUUAUCUGCUGCCCAGACGUGGCCACUGGGGGAGUGGGGGGAGAAGUUAUAGGAGUUCUGGGCCAGUGAAUUCCCUGGGCCAUGGAAGGAGCUGGUGAGAAAAGCAGUACAAAUGAAUUGUGGCUGGCUGCUAAGGAAGACAGCAGGGUUGGAAUAACAUCCAGCAUGGCUGCAGAUUCACUGGUGGUAAUGAAAGAGCCAGACUGGCCUUCUAGAUUGAACUGAAGGGAGGCUUGUUUCUAUUUUCCCAGAUUUUAUUGCUUAUCUCGUUGUUGAUUCACUAAGCUACCAAACAGACUUUCAGCAGUGUUAUCUAAACGCCUGUUCUAUAACAUUAGAGGCCUAAGUUUGGCAGGAAAGAGCAAGACUUACCAGAAUUUCAUGUUUCAGUGUGGUGAAAUGACUUCAUGUCUGCGCUUCCGAAGGAACUAAUACGAGGAAGCUGGUAGGGAAGCAGGAAUGAAUAGUUGAGGCUACAGGUGUGAUGGGACUCCAGUGUUAAAGGACAGAUGCCUAGGGGCUCCCACUCAGAUCUGUUCCUUUGUGUCUGCUGGUUGUUCCGUGAGGGUGGCUGAGGGCAAUGUCUUUUUAGAACUACUCUAGCAGAUUCACUUUAGCUAGUCUCUUGGUUCCCUAAAUACCCAUUGCCUGCUUUUUCCCAAAAGAACAUGGAUCUGGCAUGAAGCAGACCCUCCAUCAGAUCCGGGCUUUGUUAGGAGGUUCAAGUGGGAGAGCACAGGCUACUGGGUUUCCAGAGCUUCAGAAAAUAUAUCAGUUUGCUAAAUUCCUCGGAUCCCCAAGGAUGUCCAUUCCAAACCUACGGCAGUGACCAAACUAAAGAAAACUAAGCCACUGCAGGUGACAAAUUAUGAUUUUCAGCCAGAAAAUUUAGUAGUUUGACCAUCUGUGUGGGCUAUGGACAUGCUUGUGGCACUGAGCUGAGCAGCAUUAAAUUAACUAUGAAGUGUCACCUGUUCUCACUUGCAUCUACCACUGGUGGUUAACAGUAAGUCCAAUGCUAACAGCAAGUGUUCUGAUGCUGAUCAUGGCCCUGGAGGCUGUGAGCCCACAGAGAUAUUACCAGGGCAGAUAUAACCCAUUAGUCUGAACAUAGUGCUCAUUAACUUUUAGAUUUCACUGUAAGCUUCCAUGGUUAAAGCUAGGCAAAUGUCCUUCAUUUACUUCUUCAGCACCCACAGUUUCACUCUGUGUGCUGAAGGGAUGCCAUUACUGUCAAACCCUAGGGGAUAAAUAUGGAAUAAAUAUGGAGUAACACCAUUUUAACCAUGCUGCUGUUACGAGUAAAAAAAGUGAUUUAGGUAUUUCUUCAGAGGCUGUGUAGGAGUGAACAAGCAAUUGAUCAAGCUAGUUGAUACGCUGAGUUGUGUAGUCAUGUGGCAAAAAACAGAGCAGUUGGUAGAGCUGUUUAAUUCUCCAUCUCCUCUACCCUCCCUUCUUUCCAUACCUAAUCACGUUAACUAACCUCUCUGUAGAAUUCUGAGGAGGUCCUUACAGAAUUCAAAUGUUUUUUUGUGGUUCUAUUAAAUUCUCUUCAUCUACGGGCUCCAAGAUAGGGAGGAAGAAUGGGGACUUUUGGGAACAACUUGGGCUCCAGUUAGCUGCUGUUGUGCUAAGUUUAUGUACAAUCCACAUUUAUACAGAGCAUAACCCCGAAGAGCUAUCAAAUGAACAGAAGAGGAAUCUAAAGGGGAAACAGGAGGAAAGCCUAAGGGUACACCAGCAUUGCAUGACAGGGACGGAAGCAUGAUGCUGGGAGUAGGAUUUAUAGGAGUUGAUGAGAAUAAAAGCAUAUACAUUUUGCAUGUUUAUUUCAAUGGAAGUUGAGUGCUCAUGUAGCUUUAGCUACCUACAUCUUGUUGCUUAAAUAAUUUCCGAAGUGUGGUUGUAGGCAUCAGUCCUAAUUUUAUAUCUCACUAGCAUGUUACAAUACAAAAGACUCAUUCAUUUCUAGAAAAGCAGAUGCUGAAAUUGAAGCCUCAACUCUCUUAUUGUCUUCAUCUCAUUUCUGUCAGAAGUUGCGUUCUCCCCACCACUUUUAUUUUGCUUGUUAAAAAACAGGUGUCGUUACAACUCUCACUGGAUUUACUUUCAUUAGACUCCAGCAGCCUACUUGUACGAGCACUGGUUUUGACUUGGUACUAGGCUUGUGCAGAUGUAAUUGCAUGAAGUUCAGUGAAUUUAUAUCUAGUUUAUACUAGUAAUAGAGGACCUACCUAGUGUGAGUCACCUUUUCAUUCUCUUCAGCGUGAGAAAUGUAGACCUAUGAGUAAUACAUUCCAUGACAGAAAACGUGAGUUGAAUGGAUGUGGUAGUUCUUCUAGCACGGAAUGUGUAUAGUGGGAAAAGAAACAGAACUUGAAAAGAUUUGGUAUUAUCACCAUGUCUUGUGCAGGCACAAGCACUGGGUAGCCCAGAGGUGCAGGAAGCUCAUUCUUUCUGUCAGUUUGGUUUUGAUACAAGAAGAUCAAGUGUUUCUUGAACUCAGGGGGAAGACGCAUCUGGCUCCAGAUUUUUCCCAAAGGCUCUACUAAAGGCAAUUUAAUUUCUCAGUUCCUCCUUGCAUAGACUCCUCAUGGAGAGAUAAACCAGGGUAGCUUGUCACACCAACAAAAAAAUCAACAACUCACCCCACCAUGUUAACUCACACACAGUGACGGCAGCCAUCCAUUGAUGCUGACUGUGGUACGAAAAGAGGCAUCUUCUAAUUUAAUUGUUUGCAGUGACCUUAUUUCAUGGCAGAUGGGUGCAAGCGGUGGCUGGCACUCUUAAAGCAGGUGGAUGUCAACACUUUCUAUUUUUUCAAAACAAACUGAAGACUAUUUUUGAAAACAACCUGUGUCAACAUCAUCUUUUUAUAUUGUUGGUGAAUAGUGUUGUAGAAUUUUUUCUUCUUGAAAUUCUGGAAGUUCAGGUGUACAGUAAAUGUUUUGCUAGAUGUCAGCAGAAGUAUGGAUGCAGCUACUGAUUUCUCUCCAAAGCAAAAGCAUGUAGCAGUGAUGCUGAAUAUAAGAAUAGAGAUUCCUUUCGUUAUGUUGUCUUCCUUCAACCAAAACAAGCAAAUUCAGUGCCUGUAAAUGUGGUCACUAACUCGGUACACAUAAACCUUGACUGUAAUUGGACUGCAGGUGUGGAAACAACAAUAAAAAUCAAUAAUAAAAACGUAUAUGUGCUUCUUGAAACUGUGAGUAGACAAAUGCUUUCUUUCUAGUGUGGUUUUCCAAUGCAGUAAAAAUAUUAUUGAAAAUAAGGUUAAAGGUGUAACUGAUAAGAAAAGUGAUGCUUUAUUCAAAUGCAAACAGCACCCUAAAGCUGGGCCACCACUUUGCAAGAAGCUUUUAGCCAAUCAGGAGAUAGUGAAAGGUAUUUUUGCUGGAAUGUGAAGGCUGACUUCACCAAGAGAAAGACUUUACAAAAUCAUGUGAAAGUCACGAGCCAAUAAGGGGAAAAAUUAGUUCUGAUACUUCUGCAACAGACCAUGACACACUUAAAGGGGAAAUAAAUGACUUAUAAAUAACUUAAUUUUUAAAUUUAAAAUGUUGUAUUGAUAUAGCAGCAAUAAAAAUCUGAAUAAAACCUUUGGAUUUCCUGGGAAGAAGAUCAACGUGGAUUUGAAUGGCCAAGCAAGCAGAAGGUUUUUCAGCAGCUUCUUUCUGCAAGAAAUUUUAGUGAAGUUCCGUGUUUGUCAGAAUAUUUCUGACAGAAUACAACUUCCAAGUUGGAACUCUGCAAGAUGAAAUUUCUGUUCUUCAUCCUUUUGUAAUUAAAAUGAAAAUUUCCCUUAGAAUCAGAUGGGCCCAAGUGGGAUUCUGCUUGUGUACAUCAGCAUCGUUAAUGUCAGUAAGCUAGACUCUUGGUGCUGCUGUGUUUGUUAUUUCACUCUUUUGCAUUGGCUCAAAUUUAAAUAAAUAAUUCUUCAUGCAGCCAAGUAUAAAUAAAAUAUUUAAAAAUCUUUCUGAAUUAAAUGUCUAGGGCUUAAUUUAUCAUUCUGGCAUGGUCAGAAGCAGUACUUGAGUACUAUUUCCAAAUGUAAUAUUGAAUGAAACAUUUGACAGCCAGUAUACACUAUUAAAUGUAAUUCCACCUCCCCCCCCCCCCCCCCCCCCAUUUUUAAGAAAGAAUACCCCUUGUUUGGGUAUGCUGGACCUGUCUGAGUUAGCCACAAUAUUACAUCUGCAGUACUAUCAGAGAUGAGGAAGUGGAGUUGGAUGCUUACAGCAGUACACCAUUACUACAUACUCAGAAGGCGGGGACCACCUCUUAGCGUCUUGCUAAACAGCAGGAUGUUAAUUUUGCACUCUUCACUGUAGUCCUCACUGUGUUAGCAUCACUGCUUGUUAAGUUUAGAGCUCAUUAGUUUCACUCUAACUUACAAAAGCAUGGAAGAACUGAAGUGAGAUCAGUGCCCUGCUUUGACAGGCACUGUACAAAGCCAUUGAACAUGCCGUUGCAAGAUAAUGAGUUGACAUUUAAAGUACAGUGCAGAAAUACCUCUGCAGCUGACUGUAUGGCCACAUAGGGUUUCUGAUUGGACCUUGACACCUUGUGCCACUGCCUGUAGAGGACAAACCCACAUUGCUAAGAGAAAAGCUUGCAGCCUUUACCAUAACUGAUGUGAUGGAAAGGUGGGGUUGUUAGGCUAGAAUCAUGAAUAGGUGCUGUCAGCAUCCCAUUGCCCUUGCAAUUUCUGGUCCUGGGUACAGCUCACUUAUGUCCUGACAUACAUACAUGCAUUGUGGCACCUGGGAUUUGGCAGAAAAUAGAACUUGAGAGGACCUGAGUUUUCUUUCCAGAGCAGAGCUGUUGUGGAAUCACAAUGACUUUGCACUGAUUGACCACAGCAAUGUAGCUGAUGCAUUACAUCACCAUCACUAUAACAUAGUGGGCUCUCCACAUAGCCGACCACAUUUCUAUGCUGUAUGGGUCACAAAAAGUACACAUCAACAUGAGAAGGUGGUUCCUGUCACUUGCUGUUUAGAGUAGUAACUGAUUCCUUCCCAGCUGCUGUGACCCUUUCUUAAAUAAAAGGGCAAGACAUACACAGGCAAGUUAAUGGCACACUGCUGCAGUUAAUGGCAACAGCUACUGAGUUUAGCUGGAGAUAGCUGCAUCAAUUUUGGAACCAUCUUAUGGCAUAAGAGUCAUCCCUUAAUUGCACCUAUUGCUGACCCUCUCCUUUUCUCAUCCUCACCAGUUGAGCUUUCUUAUCUCAGUUGUGUUUUGUUCUUUUC